GAAGCAGGCAACUACUAGCUGUAGUCCUUGGAUUUUUUUUAUUUACCUUUAAAUAAGUAAGAUUAAAUAAAAGCAAAGGCAGAGAUGACAUGGCACAAAGGCUGCUUCUGGGUGAUGUGUGCACAGCACCCCUUUUUCGUGUGCAUCAGCUUUUUAUAGGGUACAGAGAAGUAAUCAGUGCACGCCUCGUAUCCCAACCAGACCCCCUCUACUUCAGAUGUUGAGGCAUGCACAGUGAUGGGCAGAGCCAAUGCCCCACUCACUCUCCACCCUGCAUACAAAAGGCAGAAGAAAACUCCACAGACACUGUUUCUCCCUUACAGCAUAUCUAGCCCAUGGAUGGAGCCUAAAGUGUAACCGAACACAAGGAUGGACAGGAAAAGGACACGCAAUAGGCACACUACAAGGAAGCAUGCCUAACAGAUUAAUGGAGAAGAUUAAUGGACAUUGUGCCCCUGUCCAGCCCUCAAGGGAAGCAAAGAGGUGGCUAGAUACACCUUAUUUUGGAAAUAUCAGAUGCCUGCAGCCAGGUUUUAGGAAUGCCACUGAGGAAGAAGCUGGGAUGUGGAGCAUGUGCAUAAAGGAGUUGGGGACCAGACAUAUUGAAGGUAAUGUUAAUGGGGAUGAUGCUGCCUAUGAGAGGACCCUCCAGUCUUACAAAAGGUUGAAUGCUGC